rnacentral:rRNA from 1 species
AACGAACGCGUGGCGGCAUGCCUAACACAUGCAAGUCGAACGAGGACCUUCGGGUCUAAGGUGGCGCACGGGUGCGUAACGCGUGGGAACCUGCCCUUGGGUUCGGAAUAACUCGCCGAAAGGCGUGCUAAUACCGGAUGAUGUCGUAAGACCAAAAGAUUUAUCGCCCAGGGAUGAGCCCGCGUAAGAUUAGGUAGUUGGUGAGGUAAAGGCUCACCAAGCCGAUGAUAGGUAGCCGGCCUGAGAGGGUGGACGGCCACAAGGGGACUGAGAUACGGCCCUU